rfam:Brassica rapa chromosome A3, whole genome shotgun sequence.
CAAUGACAUGAUGAUAACGAUUGUUCGGAAAUAUUAUGUCGACUAAAACUCAGACUACAAUUAUCUGAUCUUAAUG